GGCAAUAUGGCCGAGUGGUCUAAGGCGCUAGAAUCAGGACCUUGGUUCAUCUAGUCCGAAAGGGCGGGGGUUCGAAUCCCCCUGUUGUCA